GCCCCGGGCCUGCCCAGGGGGAGAGCGGAGCGGCCCGCAGCCGGGUCGGGUCGGGGCCCCUCCCGGGAGGAGCGUGGAGCGGCGGCGGCGGCAGUAGAAAUAAUGGAAGAAUUGCAUAGCCUGGACCCACGACGGCAGGAAUUAUUAGAGGCCAGGUUUACUGGAGUAGGUGUUAGUAAGGGACCACUUAAUAGUGAGUCUUCCAACCAGAGCUUGUGUAGCGUCAGAUCCUUGAGUGAUAAAGGAGUAGAGGGAAAGGCACUCCUAGGGGACAUAAAAUUAGUGAUUACUUUGAGUUUGCUGGGGGAAGCGGGCCAGGAACCAGCCCUGGCAGAAGUGUUCCACCAGUUGCACGAUCCUCACCGCAACAUUCCUUAUCCAAUCCCUUACCGUGACGAGUAGCACAGCCCCUCUAUGGUUUAGAUGGCAGUGCUGCAAAGGAGGCAACAGAGGAGCAGUCUGCUCUGCCAAUCCUCACGUCAGUGAUGCUAGCAAAACCUCGGCUUGACACAGAGCAGCUGGCGUAAAGGAGAGCUGGCCUCUGCUUCACUUUUGUUUCAGCUCAGCAAAACAGUCCCUCAUCUACGGGAUCUGGCAACACAGAGCAUUCCUGCAGCUCCCAAAAACAGAUCUCCAUCCAGCACAGACAGACCCAGUCCAACCUCACAAUAGAAAAAAUAUCUGCACUAGAAAACAGUAAGAAUUCUGACCUAGAGAAGAGGGAGGGAAGAAUAGAUGAUUUAUUAAGAGCCAACUGUGAUUUGAGACGGCAGAUUGAUGAACAGCAAAAGAUGCUAGAGAAAUACAAGGAACAAUUAAAUAGAUGUGUGACAAUGAGCAAGAAACUCCUUAUAGAAAAGAUGAUGAUUAUUCCCCACCUUCUAAGAGACAAAGACCAACGAGCCACCACAGCCACCGGUCCCAGAACCCGCCAAUGCUGGGGAACGGAAAAUGAGGGAGUUCAACUCUGGCCCUCACAAUCCAGUGGAGGAGACGAAACUCAGCUGCCUCUGUCCCUCUGGGCACGCCUCAUGCCAGGUGCAUCUGUGGACAGGGGCCAUGCUCCUGGGCUUCCAAAGUUGGAGAAAGCUGCCAGGCUCAGGUCUGAAGGCCAGAAUUCUACAGUAAGUCCUACUCAGUCAAGGUGGGAGCAGGGUCAGUGGCUUCCGAGGCUCUGCGGGAGAAUCCGUUUCCUGGCCGUGGAGGUGGCCUGCACUCCUCAGCUUGUGCUGCCCGUCUCGAAUGACUGGAGUUUCCUGCUUCUGUCACUACACCUCCCACCCUCUCCAUCACCUGCUCUGCUCUUAUAAGGAUCCGAAGAAAUGGAAUAAUCGUAUCGCUGAUCUACGUAAACAAAUUGAAGAAUUGUCUGAAAGAAAAUAUGUUAUGUCUAAACUGGAAAAGUCCUGUAAUCUUAUGUUCAUGGGCUUUUACACAAUGGAGUUACUGUUCAUCAUGGGGGUACCGUGGACAAGCCCAGAGCUGCCGGCGAGUCAUGCCAUCCUUACACGUUUCUCCUUGGAAGACGUGAACUUAUGAAUUCAACAGGUGAAGAUUUACAACUUGAUAAAUCAGCUUCAUGAGAGCCACCUGAGCUGAAGAUUCCCUUGAGAACAAGUACUGUCCUGUGGUUUCAUGGCCUUUCUUCCAUUUGUGGUUCUUGCGAAGUGGAAUUUAAAUGACAUCUUAUCAAGAUGGAUAAACCCUAGUUUCCCAGUGCUGGAAUAUAGAAAAUGGAUGGACAAGUAAAUCCCACUCAGCACCCAUAGUCCAGGCAUGGGGACCUCAACACACCUGAGCCCCAGACAUCACCUUUCAUUCUGGACCUACCAUGAAAGACUUCUGAAUCCAGGAAGAGAGACUGACUGGGAAACAUGUUAUUCAGAUGGGGUCUUCUUAUGUUGCCCAGGCUGGUCUCAAAUUCCUAGGCUCAAGUGAUUCCGCCCACCUCUGCCUCCCAAAGUGCUGGGAUUACAGUCAUGAGCCAGCGCAUCUGGCCACCUUAUUUUCUAUUACUGGCUCAAUGUAAUGGCUCCAUCUCAGGAACAGCCAAUGAAAGAGAUGCACAGGACAAGAAACAGGACCUUGCCCUGUCACUCAGGAUGGAGUUCAGUGGUCCAAUUAUGGCUCAUUGUAGCCUCAAACUCCCAGGCUCAAGCAGUCCUACCAUGUCAGCCUUCCCAGUAGCUGGGACCACAGGUAAGCAUCGUGACACUCAGUGAAUUUUGUUUUUAUUUUUUUGUAGAGAUGGGGCCUCAGUAUGUUGCCACGGCUGACCUUGAACUCCUGCACUCAAGGGAUUUUCCUGCCCUGGCCUCCCAAAGUAUUGGUAUUACAGGCAUGAGCCAUUGUGCCCACCGUCUCUGGUUCUUAACCUUCUACUUCCCUCUUCCAGUUUUAAAGAAUGCUUGUAAUUACAUGGGCUCUCCUAGAUACUCCAGGAUAAUCUUGUUUUAAGGUCAGCUGAUGAGCAACAUUAAUUUUAUCUGCACUCUUAAUUCCCCCUUCCUAUGUAAUUGUGCUGUGUAACAUAGGACAUGAGCAAUUGGUGGGGGUGGGGGUUAUUACUUUGGCCACCACAGUAUUUUAUGCCAGGUACUCAGCUAAGCACUGGUGAAUUAAGCAUGAAUAACACACACUCCCUAAUCUCCAUCCAUUCAUGGGAGGAGCACCUCACCUGCCAUGCUCCUGAGAAUCUGGGGAGUCAAAGAAGUCUUCCAUGAGGAGGUGAUGCCAAAGCGGACAAGUGACAGAGUCGAAGCUAGCUAGGAAGAGAGUAGAGGUUUAAGGGGAAGCGUAUUAUAAGCAGAGGAUAUCACCCACUUCAGAGACUCCCAGAGGAGAAAGAGUGUGUGUUCAAAGGGCAGAUGAGGCUCAGUUGGACUCCAUAGCAGAUGAAAUGGAGAGGGGCAAGCAAUGAGGCUGCCUUGCAAGGCAGGGCAGAGCAGGGGCUGUUGAAGGGUUUGGACUUAAUCCCUGAGGCAAGGAGAAGUGAUGUAAAUGGGGGAGUAACAUGAUGAGAUUAAUGGAUUAGAGACAUGGCUCAGGCUGCUGUAGAGAAGGCACCAGGGAGAGCAGAUGGCUCAAUGGGUGUGUAGGAGACCUCUCACUGAGUUUAGGGAGAGGUUUUUAAAACAGAAGAAGUUUGAGUAAUUUAAAUGAUGAUGGGAAGGAGCUAAAAGUAGGGGAUAGGUUAAAGAUACAGGAAAGUGGGAGGAAGAACUGACAAGUGAGGUUCCAGAGAGGGCAGGAGAAGAGGAGAUUCCCAUAGGGGGAUUAACACUUUCUUUUCUUUUUUCUUUCUAAGACAGGGUCUCACUCUGUCGUCCAGGCUGGAGUGCAGUGGCACAAUCUUGGCUCACUGUAGUGUAGGCUUCCCAGGCUCAAGGGAUUCUCCCACCCCAGACUCCCAAGUAGCUGGAACUACGGGUGUGCACCACCACCACACCUGGCUAAUGUUUCUUUUUUUGGUAGACACAGAGUCUCACUAUUUUGCGCUGAUUGGUCUCCAACUCCUGGCCUCAAGCGAUCCUCCUGCCUAGGCUUCCCAAAUUGCUGGGAUUACAGGCAUGAGCCAUAAUGCCUGGCCUCUGCUAGUUCUGUAUUCUCUAGAGUUGUCUUUACUUUGUGCUAGCGUGUCCCUCAUUGUGCUAAUCCUCUGUAAAAAUUAAUACCUUUUUUUCUUUUCGAGAUGGAGUUUCACUCUUGUUGCCCAGGCUGGAGUGCAAUGGCGCUAUCUCGGCUCAGCGCAACCUCCACCUGCCGGGUUCAAGCGAUUCUCCUGCCUCAGCCUCCCGAGUAAUUGGGAUUACAGGCAUGUGCCACCAUGCCCAGCUAAUUUUGUAUUUUUAGUAGAGAUGGGGUUUCUCCAUGCUGGUCAGGCUGGUCUCAAACUCCUGACCUCAGGUGAUCUGCCUUGGCCUCCCAAAGUGCUGGGAUUACAGGCAUGAGCCAUUGUGCCUGGCCAAAAUUAAUACUUUUUAUAUUAAAUUUACAUAUAUAUACAUUUUUUUCUUUUUGAUACCGGGUCUCACACUGUCACCCAGGCUGGAGUACAGUGGCAUAACCUCUGCUCACUGCAGCCUCCACCUGCCAGGCUCAAGCAAUUCUCCUGCCUCAGCCUCCCGAGUAGCUGGGAUUACAGGUAAGUGCCACCACACCCAGCUGAUUUUUGUGUUUUUUGUAGAGACGAGGUUUCGCCAUGUUUCCCAGACUGUUCUCAAACUCCUGAGCUCAAAGCAGUCCACCCACCUUGGCCUCCCAAAGUGCUGGGAUUACAGGUGUGAGCCACCUUGCUCAUUCUAGUUUAAACUUUGGAGUGGUUUGUGUCUCCUGAUUGGACUCCUGCAAAUACAGAAUUGAUGCUAGGAAGGGUACCAGGAGAUAGACGCACACAGAUGGGAUUUGGGAAUAGGUUUGGUUAUCCAAGGAGCAGUGCUGAGCUCCUUGCUAAUGGGAUAUGGGAUGCUGGUGAUUUCCAGUAAGUGACCUCAAAAUUACUCAGGCUACCACAUACUGUUGAUUGUGAUGAAAUGCCAGUUGAAGCACCUGUCCUGCGAGCUUAGGGGUGCUACAAGUUGACCACUGCAGCAGUAAAGAUGACUCUGAAGAAUGGCAUGGGAUGGAUCCUUUCGAAUGCACUUGAGCAGCGGUCUCCAACCACAGGGCCACAGAGCUGGAGCUGGAUCUACCAUGAAAGACCUCUGAAUCCAGGAAGAGAGACUGACUGAGCAACAUGUUAUUCAGGGUCUCCAUCUGUUGUCCAAGGCUGGAGUGUAGUAGUGCUAUCACAGCUGACUGCAGCCUCAACCUUCCAGGCUGAAGCGAUCCUCCCAUCUCAACCUCCCACGUGGCUGAGACUACAGGUGCUUGCCACUAUGCCCAACUAAUAUUUGGAAUUUUCGUAUACGUGGAUUCCAGAGGGGUGACAGUGAAACGUGGGACCAUCCAGUUGCAGGAAAACAAGCUUAAGACGCCCACUGAUUCUACAUUAUGCUCCUACCUCCCGGCAGCCUCUCCAGGCCCAGAACUUUCUCCAAUCAGCCUCUACAGACCAAGCUCAUGACUCACAAUGGCCUAUUUAGGCCCAUACCCUACGUCACGGCAGUCUCCGCAGAUGAGCCUACUGCCCCACAACAGCCUCCACAGGCACAGCUCCAUCGUUACAAUGGCCUCUUUAGACCCAGCUCCUGCCUCCCAGCCUUCUCUCCAGGCCCUGAACUUUCUCAAGUCGACCUCACCAGGCCCAGCUCAUGCUUCUUUGCAGCCUCUCCAGGCCCAGCUCCUGCAUCUUGGUGGCCCCUCCAGGCCCAGCCUCUGCCUCCCGUCGGCCUCUACAGUCCCAACAUCUGCCUCACAGCAGAUUCUUCACGCCCAGCAUCUGCCUCACUGUGGACCCCCCAAGCCAAGCUCCCAACCUUUCAGCAGCUUCUACACACCCAGCUCCUGCCACCCAGUGGCCUCUUUAGGCCAAGCUCAUGCUUCACAAGGGCCUUUCCAGGCCCAACUUUUGUCUCAUGGCAACCUUCCCUGGCCAGAUUCCUGCCUGUCUCCCAGCAGCCUAGACAGGCCCAGGGCCUCUCUACAUGCAGCUUAUGCCUCACGGUGGCCUCUCCAGGCCCAACUCCUGUCCCAGGACGUCAUCUCCGGGCCCAAAACUUACUCAAGUCAGACUCUGUAGUCCCAACUGCUGCCUCCUGGUGGCCUAUGAAGGCCCAAAAUCUCCUCAAGUUGACCUUUCCAGGCCCAGCUCCUGCCUCCUGUCAGCGUCUACAGGCCCAACCUCUACGUCAUGGGGGCUUCUCCAGGCCCACCUCUUCCUCUUGGCUGGGUCUACAGGCACAACUGCUGCCUCACAACAGCCUUUUUUGGCCCAGUUCCUGUCCAGCUCAUGGCGGCCAAUGUAGGCCCAAAACUUCCUCAAGUCAAACUCUCCAGGCCCACCUUCUGCUUCCCAGUGGCAUGAACAGGCCCAGCUUUGACUUGAGAACAGCCUCUGCAGGCCCUGCUCUUGCCUCCCAGGGGCUUUUUCCAGGCCCAGCUCUUGCCUCAUGGCAGCUGCCCCAGGCCAAAUUUCUGCCUGCCUGCCAGCAGCCUCAACAGGCAUAGCUCCUCCCUCACAGUGGCCCAUUUAGGCCCAACUCAUGACUGUCGGGCCAUUUCCAGGCCUAGUGCCUGCCUCGUGGCUGACUCUUGAAGCCCAAAACUUCCUCAAAUCAGCCUUUUGCCCAACUUCUGUCUACUGUCGGACUCUACAGGCCAGCCUCUGCCUCACAGUGGACCCUCCAGACCCAGAUGGUGUCUCACUGUGGCAUCCUCAGUCGAAGCUCCUGCCUUUCGGCAGCCUCUCCAGGCCCAGCUCCUCCUGCCUCCCAGUGGCCUCUUUCGGCCCAGCCCAGCUCAUGCCUCCCGGCGGCCUUCCCAAGCCCCGCUUUUGACUUUCGGUGGCCUCUGCAGGCCUCGACAAGGCCCAGCCUCCUGCCUCCCGAAGGCCUGCACAGGCCCAGCCUCUGCCUCACAGCGGACUCUCCACGCCCAGCUAGCUGUCGCCUCAUUGCGGCCUCCCGAGUCCAAAGCUCCUGCCUCUCGGCCGCUUCGGCAGGCCCAGCUCCCACCUGCCAGUGGCCUCUUCAGGCCCAUGGGGCUCGUUCCUCACAACGGCCUUUCCAGGCCCAGUUUUUCCCUUCCGGCGGCCUCUCCGGGCCCAGAACCUCCUCAAGUCGGCCUCUCCAGAGCCACUUGCACCCUCCGGGCGUCCUCUCCGGGCCCAGCUCUUCUUCCUGGUUGCGUCUCCAGGCCCGACUCCUGCCUCUCAACAACCUCUUUGGACUCAGUGCCUACCCAUCUCCUGGCGGCAUUGGUCGGCCCACAGCUUCCUCAAGCCAAGCUCCCCAGGCCCAGGUCAGGCCUCACGGUGGCCUCUCCAGGAUGAGCUCCUGCCCUCCGAUGGCAUCUCCAGGCCCCAAAUGGUCUCCGGUCGGUGGGCUCCUCCACGCCAAGCUUGGGCCUCCCGGCGACCGCUGCAGGCCCAAGUUGUCCUGAAGUCGGCCUCUCCUGGCCCUGCCUCCCAGCAAGUAAGCAAGCUCUUUUGGCUCAACUCCUGCCCAGCUCCCAACCGCCUUUCUAGGCCCCGAACUUUCUCCAGCCAAGCUCUGAGGGCCCACCUCCUGCCUCCUGGUGGCCUGUACAGGCCCAGCACUGGUUGGAGAACAGCCUCUGCAGGCCCCGCCCUUGCCUACCAGGGGCCUCUCCAGGCGCAGCUCUUGCCCCCACGGCGGCCUCCCGGGGCCAAGUCCCUGCCUGCCUCCCAGCAGCCCACGUGCGGCCCAGCUCCUCUCUCACGGUGGCCUGUUGAUGCCCACCCUCCCACGCGGACAGAGGUCAGCCUGAGCCCCUUGCCUCACACCGGCCCCUCCCACGCGGACAGAGGUCAGCCUGAGCCCCUUGCCUCACACCGGCCCCUCCCACGCUGAGAGAGGUCAGUGUGAGCCCCUGCCUCAACAGGCCACCGUGAGGGAGGAGCAGGGUCGCACGCGGGCUGCUGGGAGGUAGGCAGGGACUUGGGCCUGGGAGGUCGCGGUGGGGCGAGAGCUGGGCCUGGAGACUCCCCUGGGAGGCAACAGCGGGGUCUGCAGACACCCUUCUCCAGCUGGAGCUGGGACUGUUCAGUCACUGGGAGAAGGGAUGUGGGUCUGAAGAGCUUGGUUGCAGAAACUUCGGGGUCUACAAAGGCCGGCGGGAGCUGAGCCAAAAGAGCUUGUUUGCUGGGAGGCGGGAGAUGCAGCCAGGAGGAACAGCUGGGCCAUGCGGGAGGCAGAGGCCGGGCCUCCUCAAGUCGGCCUCUCAGACCCACUUGCAGCCUCCCAGCGUCCUCUCCGGGCCCAGCUCUUCCUCCCGGCUGCGUCUCCAGGCCGGACUCUGGCCCGACUCCAGGUCCCAACAACGUCUUUGGACUCAGCUCCUGCCCAGCUCCCAGAGGCCCUGGUAGGCCCACAACUUCCCUAAGCCAAGCUCCCCAGGCCCAGCUCAGGCCUCACGGUGGCCUCUCCAGGCUCAGCUCCUGCCCUCCGAUGGCAUCUGCAGGCCCCAAACGGCCUCCGGUUGGUGGGCUUCUCUAGGCCCAGCUUGGGCCUCCCGGUGGCCUCUGCAGGCCCAAAUCGUCCCGAAGUCGGCCUCUCCAGGCCCAGCUCCGGCCUCCCAGCGGCCUCUGCAGGCCCAAGUCGUCCUCAAGUCGGCCUGGAAGUGGGCCUGGAAGAGCAGCAAGUCGGCCUCCCCGGGCCCAGCUCCGUCCUCUCGGCGGCCUCUCCAGGUGCAAAACUUCCUCGAGUCAGCCUCUCCAGGCCCAGCUCUUCCUGCCUCCCAGUGGCCUCUUUCGGCCCAGCCCAGUUCAUGGCUCUCGGCGGCCUUCCCAGGCCCCGCUUUUGACUUUUGGCAGCCUCUUCAGGCGCAGAACUUGAUCUCCAGUCGGCCUUUGCAGGCCCGGCCUCCUGCCUCUCAAAGGCCUGCACGGGCCUGGCCUUGGCCUUGGCCUCACAGUGGACUCUCCACGCCCAGCUAGCUCUCGCCUCACUGCGGCCUCCCCCGUCCAAAGCUCCUGCCUUUCGGCCACUUCGGCAGGUCCAGCUACUGCCUGCCAGUGGCCUCUUUAGGCCAAGCUCAUUCCUCACAACGGCCUUUCCAGGCCCCGUUUUUCCCUUCCGGCAGCCUCUUGGCCUCUAAUUUGUUUAUCUUUUGUGUAUAAAUCCCAAAAUAUGGAAUUUUGGAAUAUUUCCACCAUUAUAUAUUUUGGUAGGUAAUUUAUUUGGAGUGAGUUUCUGCACCAUGCCCGAACUUUUUGUUUUAUUUUCCUUAUUAUUUGGUGUUAAACAGGUUUAAUGACGGUCAUGGCAACUUUUUGGCACAAUGAAAAAUAUCGCCCAUGAUCAACGUGUUCUGUUCUGGGGAAGGGGGCAAAGGCAGGGUGAAUCACUUUCUUAAAAAGUAUAGCUCAAGUUGGGAGUGCAGAGGGAAUGGGGAGAAAACCCUUCCGCUGCCUGUGUCGAAGUGCAGGAGCCCCCACCCCCAUACUCACCUGAGUCCAGCCCCUCUGGGGAAAGAAGGGGUGCAUGAACUCCCCUUAGUCCACAGGCGCCUCCCUGUGGCCCAAGGCCCUCUUCACACUCCAUCUUGUAGCCCCAGCAGGAGCUAUUUUCCGAAAAGUGAAAAGCUCUGAAGGUCCCACAAUUCAUGGUAUGUACAGGGGCUCGGAGGAGGGAAACUGCCCAGCUUUCCCCCGGCACAGCUGCAGGGGUAGGGGGUAUAGAUAAGAGGAGCAGGCCUUGGCCAGGCGUGGUGGCUCACGCCUGUAAUCCCAGCACUUUGGGAGGGGGAGGCAGGCAGAUCACGAUGUCAGGAGAUCGAAAUCAGCCUGGCCAAGAUGAUGAAGCCCCGUCUGUACUAAAAAUACAAAAAUUAGCCGGACGUGGUAGCGUGCACCUGUAAUCCUAGCUACCCGGAAGGCUGAGGCAGGAGAAUGGCGUGAACCCGGUGGGAAGAGUUUGCAGUGAGCCAAGAUCGCACCACUGCACUCCAGCCUGGGCGACAGAGCAAGACUCGGUCUCAAAAAAAAAAAAAAAAAAAAAAAAAGGCAGGCCUUACUCCGUCCCAAACUGAAAGGAUUAAAUGGCUUUACCUGGGAGAAGAUAACCAUCCUGCCCUCCAUUGCUACCCCCACAUACUGUCCAUGUUCUCAGGGGGUACUGUGAGUCCUGGGAUCUUUGGGGUUGCCCACCUGCCUGUGGUAGUUAUGGAGACCCCCCAGGUGUUUAGGCAGGGCUGGGGUGUCCCCUUCCAACCAGGCUGUCAAGGCCCCAACUCUGGGGCAGAGGCAGUGGCAGGGCAGCCAGGGUUGCGCCAGAGCCUGAGCAGGUUGAGGUGGGGUCAGGCAGGGCUGGGAGUCAGGGCAGGGGCAGCAGCAGUGGACCCGCUAUGCACACAUCGUCUUCUCCAAGGUUUGUGUGCAGAACAUCCUGCCCAUGCUGCCCCAGCAGCUUCAGUUGGCACCUGCCCCAGUCCAGCCUCUGGGAACCAUGCAGCAGCUCCCAGCGGCCCUGCACCCACCACCAGCAUCCGUUUCACCUGCAGUUGAAGAUCCGUGAGGUGCCCAGAAGAUCAUGCAGUCAUCAGUCCCACGGAGCAGCCCGUGAGGCUGAGGCUCCUCCCACUGGACCGCCCCCCAACUGGCACCACUGCUGCCCCUGCCCCUACUCUCAGCCUCACGUGACUCUCGGGCAGAGGCAGUGGUGGGGCAGCCAGGGCAGCGUCAAGAGUCUGAGCCAGGUGAGGUGCGGUCAGGACCCCCACAGGGCUGGGAGUCAGGGCAGGGGCAGAACAAACCUUGGAGGGGAAGAUGUGUGCAUAGUGGGCCUGGAGGGCGGCUGUGGCCUAGUGGACAGGAAGAAGCAGUGGGCCUGGAAGAGCUGCAUGAUCAGGGCCGGCACUGGUCCAGGGCACGUGCAGUGAAGAGGACAGCGCCUUCUCGGUCUCCGGUUCCCUGAGCCUGUCCUUGGCUUCUCCACCUGUACAGGCAAAGGGGAAGCUGUCCCCAUCACACAUGGCACACUUGGGGGUGUUGGGCUUUGGACUGCAGCUGGAGCAUCUUCUCAUCUUGCAUUUGGGCGUGGUGGGGUCCUCCAGUGUGGGAUCCAUGUCCGUGGGGUUCCCUCUGCCCCGACCCCGAAAGCCCAGUCAGUUUCUCUUCAGGCUCUGCCCCCCGGGUGGCUCAGCCCAGCUCCUGCCUAGGAAAGCCUUAGUGUUGGGAGGGACCCUGAUGACUGAGGAGCCUGGUAGCUCCAGGUCGCCCACACUUUCAGGUCUCUUGCACCAGAAGGUGGCAGGAUCCAUUGGGAGGAAACAGGUCACCUUGGAAGGCGUCCCUGGGCCCCCAUCCCCAGGGGUAGGGGCCGUAGGGGGCCCGCUCUGCUGCCUUGACCAGACUCCUGGGCAUUGAAGGCUCCUGGGCCCAGUAAGAAGGAGGUGGGUGCCAAGGUUGAGGAGGAAGCAUCCGAGUAUGUGUAGGAGGAGGACAAGGUGGGACCAUAGACUUUGCCAAAAGCUGCAGGUGGAUCGGGGGACCCUGGGGGCUCAGGAUCCAGCAAGGGGCGGCAGGAGUAAAGGAGGAAGGAAUGACAGGUGCAAAUACCUUCCCACCAAAGCCCUUGUUGCCCUCUGGCUCCUCCCCAGAGUUGUCCCCACUCUCAGUCGGUCACCCACUCCUUGAACUUGAGAUCGGUGUCAGUGGUGCUAAAGCCAUCAUCAGCAAUGACAUCAUCACCCCCUCCUCCUCAUGGAUGACCGUGUGCUCCUCGUCACUUGCUAUGUCCUCACUGGCCAUGUGCUGGGAAUGAGCAGCUCAGGUGGGCAGCAGCAGGGCUGCCCACUGGUCACCUCCCUCACCAGGGGCUGCAAAGUGGCCUGGAGCUCCAUACUGAGUAGAAGGCUUUGGGCCAGAGUAUGAUGCAGUGCCAGACACCACCUGUGUCAGUUCCCGUAGUGCCUGACGGUCUAUUUCCCUGCCGUCCAGGCUGUGUACCCCACUGUGGGAGAAGGCUUGGGCCAGGCUAAGCCAGGUUCCCUGACUGUGUGCAGCCAUUCUGCCCCACAGAAGCUGCUCCUUGGUAUCCGAGCUCUGGAGUGUUUGGGCUGCAACUGACAGGAGUUCAGAGGACACCCCAGGGGCAGUGGCAGUGCCCGUCUCUGAUAUUCUCCGCUCCCACGAGCCCUUGUUACACUCCUGCUAGCCCCUGGCUUGUGGGCUUGGCCUCUGAGCUGGACUUCUUUCGGUCCUUGUUGCAAGUGGGCCACCUUCACCUGGAAGGCCAGGUCGUGGUAUUUCUGCGUCUCAUUGGGCCCCAGGGUGUACCACCGCUUGCUCAGCAUCUGGCUGACGGUCCGGUUGUCCUGGUUGGGGUGACCCUGGUGCGCCCUGCCAGGGCCUGGUGCCGCUUGCUGAAGAUCAUGACCGCCACUCAUGGGCCACCGGAUGUGGUCCUUGUCCCAUUUGUUGGGGCUGCAUCCAUCCUUCUCAGAAGAUGAGUCCUGUUCCUUGCGCAGGGCACUGAGGGACUGGGCCUGACAUCAUCUGGCUGGUAGAGGCAACUGGGUGUCAGGAGACAUGAUGGAGAGGAAAGCAUCAUCAUGGUCAUUCUCUGUCUCACUGUCCAGCAGGGACUCCCCUGAGGGGCCCAGGGCUCCUCCUCCAUGGUGGGAGGUGAGCUUUUACCAGGUUCCACCACCCCCAAAGUGUGUGGGGUUGCGGGCCCUGGGCUUUCAGGGCAGGUGGCUCCAGGGGGCCACCCAGGGUCAGCACUCCCUGUCCCACCUGGUGGACACUCAUGAGCAACAGCUGCUGACUUGGCAGGUUCUUUGCUCUGGUUGGAGGCCACUGAGUGACUGGCAGGUUGCUGGACCUCACAUAGCUGCAGGGAGGGGUCAGGAAGGGGACAGAGUACCAGGAGAACACAGCCACAGAGCAAGGUUCCACGUUCCUCCACACAAACAUGCUGACGCCACUGGAGGCCUCGCUGGACGCAGACAUCAGGGGCCUGUGGGCCAAGUACAUGGUCUGGGCAGGGGGUUCCUGGCAGGGGCUCACACCUCCUCAGCCCCCUCCUCAGCCAAGGCAGCUUGGACCCACGGAAGUGGGGAUGGAAGGGGAGCAUGAGGCCAGGCCUCAAGUUUUUGUUUUUGUUUUUUUUUUUUUUGAGAUGCAGUUUGGCAGGCUGGAGUGCAGUGGUGCGAUCUCAGCUCACUGAAACCUCCACUUCCUGGGUUCAAGCAAUUCUCCGGCCUCAGCCUCCCAUGUAUAUGCACCUUUACUGCUGAAUAUUAUAUAUUUUCUUAUGCUUUCAUGUGAUUGAUUAGCAUUCUUUUUUUUUUUCUUUUUGAGACAGAGUGUUGCUGUCGCCCAGGCUGGAGGGCAGUGGUGUGAUCUCGGCUCACUGCAACCUCUGCUUCAUGGUUUAAUUGAUUCUCCUGCCUCAGCCCCCUGAGUAGUUGGGAUUACAGGCACCCGCCACCACACCUGGUUAAUUUUUUGCAUUUUUAGAAGGCGUGGGUUUUUGCCAUGUUGGCCUGGCUGGACUUGACCUCCUGACCUCAAGUGAUCCACCCUCCUUGGCCUCCCAAAAUGCUGGGAUUACAGGCAUGAGCCACCACACCCAGCUGCUUUCUUUCAUUUUUACUUGAAAAACUCCAUUAAGCAUUUCUUUUAAAGUAGACCUAGUGGUGGCUCAUACCUAUAAUCCCAGCACUCUGGGAGGCCAAGGUUUCAGGAUCGCUUGAGCCCAGGAGUUCAAGACCAGCCUGGGUAACAUAAUGAGACACCAUCUCUACAAAAAAUGCAAAAAUUAGCUGAGCAUGGUGGCACGCACCUGUAGUCCCAGCUACCUGGGAUGCUGAGGUGGGAGGAUCACUUGAGCCCGGGAAGUCACAGCUGCAGUGAGCCAUGAUCGCACCACUGCACUCCAGCCUGAACAACAGUGUGAGACCCUGUUUUUUAUUUUUUAUUUUUAUUUAUUUAUUUUUUAAAGACAUAGGUAGCUAGAGUAAUACAGAGAUGAAAGGGAGAGUAUUCACACACGCUUCUUAAAAUAGAAAUUACUAAAUUUUAUUUUACUUAAAAUAAAAUUUAGCUGUGAGGAUUCUCCACAAGGCUGCUCAUGACAUGGCAGAUGGCUUCCCCUUGGGUGGAAUGACAGGAGGGCGAGGGCCAAGGUGAGGGUGGUACGGAGAGAGAAAAAACUACCAAGAUGAAAGCUGCAGUGCCUUUUAUAACCUAAUCUUGGAAGGGACAUAUCACUACUUGUGCCUUAUCCUUUCAGUCACACAGACCAACCCUGAUAUGUUAUGGAUAGGGACUUGGAGACUGCUCCAAAGACCAGGAGGUGACGAUCACUGGGGUCCUCUGGGAGACUGGCCACCACAGUUGCCUUUUCCUUUUCAGGUCACUUACAAGGGUCUUUGUUGCUAUGGAGGUGGAUGUGGGCAUAAUCAAAGGGUACAUGUUGUACAGGCCUUUAUUAUACAAACCUCUACAAUAAAACAAUAACACAUCACUGCCAAGACAGUUAUACAGUGUUAAAUUGGAAUGGAAAGGAAGGAAUCAGAAUUUCAUGUGAUAGAACACUUAAAAGUCUGCCUGUGCACAUGUAUGAAUAUGCAUUAGGGAGAAGUAAAAGAGUGACCUGAAAAUCUUCCUAAAGUAAUAUUAUCUAGAAAGUUUGAGAGGUUUAACUGUGGCUAACAAGAUUUCCUGAAGAUAAAAUGUUCCUGGGGCCUUAAUAGUUACAAGAACUUUACCAAAUCAAGAAAGCAAAUAUAUAGGAGUCUAAAAAUUAUUUAGUUUUGCAUAUUCAUUUCAGAGUACCAAUUAUGAUUUUAUUUCUUUUUAAUUUUUAAAAGUUUAGAAAAAAAACGAGAACCAAUUACAAUGUUAAAAGGAAACAGGAAGGAUAGAUUUGGGGCCAAUUAUAUUACUGUUUGGGUUUUUGUUACUAUAAAAAUGGAAAUAUUAAAGAUUUUAAAAAAUGAGUGGUAAUAGAGUACAAAUCUGCAAAUGAUGAAUCAGCAAUUAUAUUUUUAUACCAAAUGGUAUGUUUGUGAUAUUGAUAUAGUAUUAAUGCACUGUGAAUUUAUUUAUUUAUUUUGAGAUGGAAUCUUGCUCUGUCGUGCAGACUGGUGUGCAGUGGUGCGAUCUCAGCUCACUGCAACCUCUGAUAUGGUUUAGCUGUGUCCCCACCCAAAUCUCAUCUUGAAUUCCUAUGUGUUGUGGGAGGGACCUGGUGGAAGGUCCAUGAAUGAUGGGGGCAAUCAAUUCUUUCCUGUGCUGUUCUUAUGAUAGUAAAUAAGUCUCACAAGAUCUGAUUUUUUUUUUUUUUUUUUUUUUUUUUUUUUCCAAGACAGAGUCUCACUCUGUCACCCAGGCUGGUGUGAAGUGGUACAAUCUCAGCUCACUGCAGCCUCUGCCUCCCGGGUUCAAGUGAUUCUCCUGUCUCAGCCUCCCAAGUAGUUGGGAUUACAGUUGCCUGCCACCAUGCCUGGCUAAUUUUUGUAUUUUUAGUAGAGAGGGGAUUUCACCAUGUUGGCCAGGCUGGCCUUGAAGUCCUGACUUCAGAUAAUCUGCCUGUCUCAGCUUCCCAAAGUGCUGGGAUUACAGGCGUGAGCCACUGUGCCCAGCUGAGAUCUGAUGGUUUUAAAAAGAGGAGCUCCCCUGCAUGAGAUCUCACUUUUUGCCUGCUACCAUUUAUGUAAGAUGUGACUUGCUCCUUCUUGCCUUCCAUCAUGACUGUGAAGCUUCCCCAGCCAUAUGGAAUUGUAAGUUCAAUUAAACUUCUUUUCUUUGUAAAUUACCCAGUCUCGGGUAUGUCUUUAUCGGCAGCAUGAAAACGGACUAAUACAGUAAAUUGGUACCAGGAGUGGGAUGUUCUGAAAAGAUAUCUGAAAAUGUGGAAACGACUUUGGAACUGGGUAAUAGGCAGAGGUUGGAACAGUUUUGAGGGCUCAGAAAAAGACAGGAAAAUGUGGAAAAGCUUGGAACUUUCUAGAGACUUGUUGAAUGGCUUUGCCAAAAAUGCUGAUAAUGAUAUGGACAAUAAGACCCAGGCUGACGUGGUCUCCGAUGGAGCUGAGGAACUUACUGGGAACUGGAGCAAAGGUGACUCUUGUUAUGUUUUAGCAAAGCGACUGGCAGCAUUUUGCCCCUGCCCUAGAGAUGUGUGGAACUUUGAACUUGAGAGAGAUGAUUUAGGGUAUCUGGCAGAAGAAAUUUCUAAGCAGCAAAGCAUUCAAGAGGUGACUUGGGUGCUGUUGAAAGCAUUCAGUUUUAAAAGGAAAACAGAGGAUAGAAGUUUGAAAAAUUUGCAGCCUGGCAAUGCGAUAGAAAAUUGCAUUUUCUGAAUAGAAAUUCAAGCCAGCUGCAGAAAUUUGCAUAAGGAAGGAGGAGCCAAAUGUUAAUCCCCAAGACAAUGGGGAAAAUGUCUCCAGGCCAUGUCAGAGGCCUUCACGGCAGUCCCUCCCAUCACAGGCCCAGAAGCCUAGGAGGAAAAAGUGGUUUCAUGGGCUGGGCCCAGGGUCCCCAAGCUAUGUGCAGCCUGGGGUUUGGUCCACUGCAUCCCAGCUGCCCCAGCUGUGGCUGAAAGGGGACAAUGUAGAGCUCGGGCCCUGGCUUUAGAUGGUGCAAGCCCCAUGCCUUGUGGUGUUGAGCUUCCAUGUGGUGUUGAGCCUGCAGGUGCACAGAAGUCAAGAAUUGAGGUUUUGGAACCUCCACCUAGAUUUCAGAAGAUGUAUGGAAAUGCCUGGAUGCCCAGGCAGAAAUUUGCUGCAAGGGUGGGGCUCUCAUGGAGAACCUCUGCUAGGGCAGUGCAGAAGGGAAAUGUGGGGUCGGAUCCCCCACACAGAGUCCCUACUGGGGCACUGUCCUCCAGACCCAGAAUGGUAGAUCCACUGACAGCUUGCACUGUGUGCCUGGAAAAGCCACAGACACUCAAUGCCAGCCUAUGAAAGCAACCAGGAGGGAGACUGUACCCUGCAAAGCCACAGGGGCAGAGCUGCUCAAGACCAUGGGAACCUACCUCUUGUAUCAGCAUGACCUGGAUGUGAGACAUGGAGUCAAAGGAGAACAUUUUGGAGCUCUAAGAUUUGACUGCCCUGCUGGAUUUUGGACUUGCAUGGGGCCUGUAGCCCCUUUGUUUUGGCCAGUUUCUCCCAUUUGGAAUGGCUAUAUUUACCCAAUGCCUAUACCCCCAUUGUAUCCAGGAAGUAACUAACCUGCUUUUGAUUUUACAGGCUCAUAGGUGGAAGGGACUUGCCUUGUCUCAGAUGAGACUUUAGACUGUGGACUUUUGAGUUAAUGCUGAAAUGAGUUAAGACUUUGGGGGACUGUUAGAAAGGCAUGAUUGGUUUUGAAAUGCGAGAUCAUGAGAUUUGGGAGGGGCCAGGGGCAGAAUGAUAUGGUUUGGCUGUGUCCCCAUCCGAAUCUCAUCUUGAAUUUCUGUGUGUUGUGGGAGGGACAGGUGGGAGGUCAUUGAAUGAUGGGGGCAAGUCUUUUCUGUACUGUUCUUGUGAUAGUGAAUAAGUCUCAUGAGAUCUGAUGGUUUUAAAAAGAGGAGUUUCCCUGCUCAAGCUCUCUCUCUUUGCCUGCUGCCAUCCCUGUAAGAUGUGACUUGCUCCUCCUUGCCAUCUGCCAUGAUGUGAGGCUUCCCCAGCCACGUGGAACUGUAAGUCCAAUUAAACCUCUUUUCUUUGUAAAUU
ensembl:lncRNA novel transcript